GUAGGGAAUCUUCCGCAAUGGGCGAAAGCCUGACGGAGCAACGCCGCGUGAGUGAAGAAGGAUUUCGGUUCGUAAAGCUCUGUUGUUAGGGAAGAAUAAUUGUGUAGUAACUAUACACAGUAGAGACGGUACCUAACCAGAAAGCCACGGCUAACUACGUGCCAGCAGCCGCGGUAAUACGUAGGUGGCAAGCGUUGUCCGGAAUUAUUGGGCGUAAAGCGCGCGCAGGUGGUUUAAUAAGUCUGAUGUGAAAGCCCACGGCUCAACCGUGGAGGGUCAUUGGAAACUGUUAAACUUGAGUGCAGGAGAGAAAAGUGGAAUUCCUAGUGUAGCGGUGAAAUGCGUAGAGAUUAGGAGGAACACCAGUGGCGAAGGCGGCUUUUUGGCCUGUAACUGACACUGAGGCGCGAAAGCGUGGGGAGCAAACAGGA
rnacentral:rRNA from 1 species